GCCGGGCGUGGUGGCUCACGCCUAUAAUCCUAGCACUUUGGGAGGCUGAGGUGGGUGGAUCACCUGAGGUCAGGAGUUCAAGACCAGCCUGACCAACAUGGUGAAACCCCGUCUCUA
ensembl:misc_RNA Metazoa_SRP Metazoan signal recognition particle RNA